CCGCGGCUGCUGGCACGGAGUUAGCCGGUGCUUCUUCUGCGAGUAACGUCAAUCGCCAAGGUUAUUAACCUUAACGCCUUCCUCCUCGCUGAAAGUACUUUACAACCCGAAGGCCUUCUUCAUACACGCGGCAUGGCUGCAUCAGGCUUGCGCCCAUUGUGCAAUAUUCCCCACUGCUGCCUCCCGUAGGAG
rnacentral:rRNA from 1 species